rnacentral:rRNA from 1 species
CAGUAGCCGCGGUAAAACGAAGGGGGCUAGCGUUGCUCGGAAUGACUGGGCGUAAAGGGCGCGUAGGCGGCGAUCAAAGUCAGGCGUGAAAUUCCUGGGCUCAACCUGGGGGCUGCGCUUGAUACUUGGUUGCUUGAGUGGGGAAGAGGGUCGUGGAAUUCCCAGUGUAGAGGUGAAAUUCGUAGAUAUUGGGAAGAACACCGGUGGCGAAGGCGGCGACCUGGUCCUUGACUGACGCUGAGGCGCGAAAGCGUGGGGAGCAAACAGGAUUAGAUACCCGCGUAGUCCCUGUCUCUUAUAU